GCGACCCCAGGUCAGGCGGGACUACCCGCUGAGUUUAAGCAUAUAAAUAAGCGGAGGAGAAGAAACUUACGAGGAUUCCCCUAGUAACGGCGAGCGAACCGGGAGAUGCCCAGCUUGAGAAUCGGGCGGCCGCGCCGUCCGAAUUGUAGUCUGGAGAGGCGUCCUCAGCGACGGACCGGGCCCAAGUCCCCUAGAAAGGGGCGCCUGGGAGGGUGAGAGCCCCGUCCGGCCCGGACCCUGUCGCCCCACGAGGCGCCGUC
rnacentral:rRNA from 1 species